CCUACGGGAGGCAGCAGUGAGGAAUAUUGGUCAAUGGGCGCGAGCCUGAACCAGCCAAGUAGCGUGAAGGAUGACUGCCCUACGGGUUGUAAACUUCUUUUAUAAAGGAAUAAAGUGAGGCACGCGUGCCUUUUUGUAUGUACUUUAAGAAUAAGGAUCGGCUAACUCCGUGCCAGCAGCCGCGGUAAUACGGAGGAUCCGAGCGUUAUCCGGCUUUAUUGGGUUUAAAGGGAGCGUAGAGGGGUUGUUAAGUCAGGUGUGAAAGUUUGGGGCUCAACCGUCAAAUUGCAGUUGAUACUGGCAGUCUUGAGUACAGUUGAGGUAGGCGGAAUGCGUGGUGUAGCGGUGAAAUGCUUAGAUAUCACGAAGAACUCCGAUUGCGAAGGCAGCUUACUAGCCUGCCACUGACAUUGAUGCUCGAAAGUGUGGGUAUCGAACAGGAUUAGAUACCCGUGUAGUC
rnacentral:rRNA from 1 species